CAGCCCUGCAUGAGGAGAAUGGCUGGCGCUCCUGCCACAGCACCACAGCGUUGAGGCUGCCCAUAGAGGUGACCAGCAGCACCGUGGCCGCUGUGGCUGAGGCUGUGGAACCCUCUGGAAGCACCCGGCGCUCAGCCUGGGGUGGAGACUGUAGGAGGGAUGUCUGCCAGCGCCGGGCUGGGCAGCAGGCAGUGCGUGGGGAGGAGGAAGUGUUGCGUGGCUCCCACUGCGCUGUGUGAGGCCCUUUGGUGUGUGACGGCACACUGCUGCAGGACUGCACUGCAAGCACUGGGAACUUUCAAAAUGAUUCUGUUUCUAAGCAAAAGUAUUCAUAUGGAUGUUCAUCAGUUUCUGAGAAUUUCAGAUCUAUGAGAUCCACAGUAUAAAAUUAAGAUCUAUUUCCUGAAAGCUUGACUCAAUUAUUUCACGACUGUUCUUUUAAAAGACUGCAAAGCCAUUUAGGAAUAGUCAUCCUUCACUAGGCGGGUAUGCUGCCUAAGGACGCUCCAGAGAAAGCACUGCUUUCCUUUGCAGGAAGACUGGGAAAGCCCUGCAGUCCUGGGCAGGGAGCACAGCACAGGGCUGGAGCUGAGCAGAGCAUCGCCUUGGCUGAGAGCUCUCAUGGCUCAGGGCUGCACCCAUCGGGUCACGGACGGAGCUCCAGGGCUGUUCAGAGAUGGAGGGAUGCUGAAAGGCUGAGAAAUACUGUGUAGAUACACAGCUGGGAAACAAUCGUGCUCUGAUGAAUGAGCAAAACAACUAAUUAACUACUAAUUAAAGAUGAACUUGUUGGCACCUUGUA